rnacentral:rRNA from 1 species
UCUUCCCUCUAGCUACAGGCUUAACACAUGCAAGUCGAGGGGAAACGGCAUCGAAAGCUUGCUUUUGAUGGGCGUCGACCGGCGCACGGGUGAGUAACGCGUAUCCAACCUGCCCAUCACUUGGGAAUAACCUUGCGAAAGUAAGACUAAUGCCCAAUGACAUCCCACGAAGGCAUCCGAAUGGGAUUAAAGAUUUAUCGGUGAUGGAUGGGGAUGCGUCUGAUUAGCUUGUUGGCGGGGUGACGGCCCACCAAGGCAACGAUCAGUAGGGGUUCUGAGAGGAAGGUCCCCCACAUUGGAACUGAGACACGGUCCAAACUCCUACGGGAGGCAGCAGUGAGGAAUAGUGGUCAAUGGGCGAGAGCCUGAACCAGCCAAGUAGCGUGCAGGAUGACGGCCCUAUGGGUUGUAAACUGCUUUUAUAAGGGAAUAAAGUGGGUCACGUGUGACUUUUUGCAUGUACCUUAUGAAUAAGGACCGGCUAAUUCCGUG